CUUGUCCAAAAGCUACAGACUAAGAGUCAAGAAUCUCACUGAAUAAAGUCAUCGUUGUAGCUGCUGAAUUUUUAAAUUACAACUUAUCUUCAAAAUUCUUGCCGCGAAAAUGGAGUCCCAUGGGCACAGAGGUUCAAAUCCUAAGGCUGUUCUUGCAUCCCUUUUGAGCAAAAGAGAAAAGCUUCAAGAUGAACUACGAAAUGUUGAAAAACAAGUUUAUGAGCUAGAAACGAGUUAUUUGCAAGAAACAGGCACUUUUGGAAAUGCGUUAAAAGGAUUCGAAGGCUUUCUAUCAACAUCGAAUAAGAAUGCAAACCUCAAAAGGUCGAGAAAAUUUCAGCUUGAAGACAGGCUAUUCUCAUUGUCUUCAGUCACUUCACCAGCAGCGGAAGAGCUUGGACUUGGACGGGAAGAUGGAAGACCAGAUCCUACUCAAAGUCGAAUCAGGGGCGGAGGUUUUGCCACUAACGGACAGGGUAAACCAAAGAAGGGAAGAACCGGACCACGAGAUGGAAGGAAGUUCCGAAUAUCAAACGACUUGGAUCUUGAUGAUGAAGAUGAUCCAGAUUCAGGCUUGAGAUAGCUAUCACUAACUUUAUCUGCAAAAAACUGUGUUGUAGUUUGUUGUACCAUAGUAUUGUAUCAUCUCAUGGUUGAAUAAAAUCCUACACAACUAUGUAUGCAUCGAUAAGUUUCUAGCGGCUAAUUAUUUGUGGAUGUGCGCAAGAACUUCCCUAGGUACCUGGUGGAAUAGUCGAGGGACUGGACACCACUAUUAUAAAAAGAAAGUGUUGCUAGAAUGGAUUGAAAAGUCAUAAGAUCUGGUUACUGGCAAAGCAGGAAAAAGAUGAAGGUGGACAGAAUCAACCAAAUAACCUGCCCUCAAAGACUUCCAUAUCUGGAUGAGGUCAAUCUAUAGCAGGUGAAAUCAAGUUAACUCUUUUAAGAUUCAAUAUGACAAUCUUAAAAGGGUCAAAUCAAAGACUCUGUUUUUUAUUUAGCCUUGGAUAGAAAUGCAGGAUAAAACUGCGUAUAAUAGACCCUUGUUGUCCGGUUCUUCCCCGAACCCCAUGCAUAGCGGGAGCUUAGUUCGCCGGGCUGCCUGUUAUAUAUUCACCAAUGAUUGAGGGUACAUGUUAAUAGUGCACAAGUAAUUAUGGCAAAGAGAACGUAGAUAAUUUCUACAUUAUAAGAUCAUAAGUAUUGAUUUCU